UACGAAGGGGGCUAGCGUUGCUCGGAAUCACUGGGCGUAAAGCGCACGUAGGCGGAUUGCUAAGUCAGGGGUGAAAUCCUGGAGCUCAACUCCAGAACUGCCUUUGAUACUGGCGAUCUUGGAGUCCGGGAGAGGUGGGUGGAACUGCGAGUGUAGAGGUGAAAUUCGUAGAUAUUCGCAAGAACACCAGUGGCGAAGGCGGCUCACUGGUCCGGUACUGACGCUGAGGUGCGAAAGCGUGGGGAGCAAACAGG
rnacentral:rRNA from 1 species